AGCGAACGCUGGCGGCAGGCCUAACACAUGCAAGUCGAACGGAUCCUUCGGGAUUAGUGGCGGACGGGUGAGUAACACGUGGGAACGUGCCCUUUGGUUCGGAACAACUCAGGGAAACUUGAGCUAAUACCGGAUGUGCCCUUCGGGGGAAAGAUUUAUCGCCAUUGGAGCGGCCCGCGUCUGAUUAGCUAGUUGGUGAGGUAACGGCCCACCAAGGCGACGAUCAGUAGCUGGUCUGGGAGGAUGAUCAGCCACACUGGGACUGAGACACGGCCCAGACUCCUACGGGAGGCAGCAGUGGGGAAUCUUGCGCAAUGGGCGAAAGCCUGACGCAGCCAUGCCGCGUGAAUGAUGAAGGUCUUAGGAUUGUAAAAUUCUUUCAGCGGGGACGAUAAUGACGGUACCCGCAGAAGAAGCUCCGGCUAACUUCGUG
rnacentral:rRNA from 1 species